GUCGAGGAUCUUCGGCAAUGGGCGCAAGCCUGACCGAGCGACGCCGCGUGUGCGAUGAAGGCCUUCGGGUUGUAAAGCACUGUCGAGGGGAAGAAAAGGAAACUUGAUCGACCCCUGGAGGAAGCACGGGCUAAGUUCGUGCCAGCAGCCGCGGUAAGACGAACCGUGCAAACGUUGUUCGGAAUCACUGGGCUUAAAGGGCGCGUAGGCGGGCAAGCAAGUCGAAGGUGAAAUCCCACGGCUCAACCGUGGAAGUGCCCCCGAUACUGUUUGUCUGGAGGGAGAUAGGGGCGUGCGGAACUUCCGGUGGAGCGGUGAAAUGCGUAGAUAUCGGAAGGAACACCGGUGGCGAAAGCGGCGCGCUGGAUCUCUACUGACGCUGAGGCGCGAAAGCUAGGGGAGCGAACGGGAUUAGAUACCCCAGUAGUCC
rnacentral:rRNA from 1 species